UACGUAGGUGGCAAGCGUUGUCCGGAUUUAUUGGGCGUAAAGCGCGCGCAGGUGGUUUCUUAAGUCUGAUGUGAAAGCCCCCGGCUUAACCGGGGAGGGUCAUUGGAAACUGGGAGACGUUGAGUGCAGAAGAGGAAAGUGGAAUUCCAAGUGUAGCGGUGAAAAUGCGUAGAGAUUUGGAGGAACACCAGUGGCGAAGGCGACUUUCUGGUCUGUAACUGACACUGAGGCGCGAAAGCGUGGGGAGCAAACAGG
rnacentral:rRNA from 1 species